rnacentral:lncRNA from 1 species
GUGGUCUUUUUCCAGUUGUAUCUUAAAUACAUAAAGUGUUGCUACGUGGUGACAAAAUGUGGGAUUUAUUUUGUUUACAGCCAAGCUUCCGAGAAAUCAACUGAACAUUCUGCGGAAGUUUUAGCUGAUCUAAUGAGGAAGAGUUGUAGAAAGUUCAUGGUAGGUGUACUCUUCAUUUUUUAAUGUAUUUUUUUUUUUCAAUUUGACCUCUAUCAUAUAAGCAUUAAUUGUCACUCUUUCUAUUUUGGGCUUUUCAAUUUUUGCCCAAAUCAUUGAAAGCUUUAAUUUGCUGUAAUUUGUUUUUAUUGAUUAUUAGUAUAAAAAAUUCAGUAAGGAGAUUGAUAAUAAGGCUUAUCUAUUUUGUUUUUGCUUGAUAACUUUGCUUGUUCCCAUUUGGGGUUCCUUUGAUAAUUUUCCAUGGUUGUUGAAUCAUUUAUUUACUAUGUUCGUAUUUAAAAAUUCAAUUUACUGUAUUUUUCAUCAAGCUGGAACAGCAAUGGACAAUUCCAAGGGCUGUUUUUCUGUAGGUUUGCUGUCAAAAUAGCUGCUAGAAGUUUACAACGGCUGUUUUGCUGCUUUUCUCAGUGAAACAGCCCUUGGUAAUUUGCAGGGGCUAUUUUCACUACAAAACAGCAGUAAAACAGCCCCUGCAGAUUUCUAUUGGCUGUUUUCACUGCAGAACAGUAGCAAAACAGCCACUGGAAAUCUGCAGGUGUUGAUUAGUUGCUGUUCUACAAUCAAAAAGGCUCCUAGAAAUUUUUUGGUCUAUUUUGUAUUGAAAAAAUUUUGGAAGAUUGUUGAGGAAGGAGGGGAAUGAGUGCAGUAGUUUUUUAGAAGGCUUGAUGAUGAGUUUGAUAAAUUUGACAAGUUUUACGGGACUAAAGUGAAAGAAAAUUAUGCUUAGGUUGAAAGUUUGAGUGAGCAAAUGGAUGCUUUGAUUGCUUUCAAGAUAAAAACUAAGGAAUUGGAAGGAGUUAUUUAGGAUUCUAUACAAUUUGAGCCUAAAGAACAAAAGCAUGAAAGCAAGUUGAUUUCUAAACUUGUUGUUGGUUAUUGCUUUCCUUGCUUCUAUUUCUCGGUAGUUUGAAAGUAAUUCCUUUUUUUUAAAUUAGCUUUCGAACAACUUUCUUCAUUUUAGUUCAUUCAAAAUUAUUAGUUCUAUCAGUAAUAUGACUUUAUUAAUGCAGAUUAUGUAGAAGACAACAAAGCAACUGCAUAUUUUGACGCCAAUGGUCUCCUCUUCUUUGCUGAAUAGUUAAAUGAUUUGACAAAAUACAAGUUGUAUCAGGUGACUUUUGCAGUUUGUGCUUUAAUUGCCUGUAUGGCGUUACAACUAUACUACUCACAAUUCACAUCUACAAUGGUCAUAUAUUUAUGUAUCUACAAUCCAUUCUCAUGUUUCUUGCUUUAGAACAUGAGUUCUGAAAAUAUUUUUAGAUAUGCACUCAUAUCAAGGUACCUAUAGAGUCUUCUAACUGUUUAGCUUAUAGUGUAUAUGUGUUAAUGCUCUUGGACGACUAAACUGGGAUACUACUAUUAAAUUAAUAUAGUACAAGCAUAUGAAUGUGCAAACGUAAUAAAUUUACUCUUUCAAAAUUUCAGUUUAGCAGAUGGUGGUGAUUUUUAGGAUCUUUCUAAUCAUAUAUUCUUUCAAAAUUCUAUAGGUCAAGAAUUUACAAUUAAGUUUGGUGACAUUCAUUGAAUUGAUGGGCCAUAUGAAGAGGUUAAAUUCCUAGACCUUAAAAUUUAGGUCCAUCCAUUUAAUUUAUUUACUUUGGCAGCUUAUAUUAAUUUGAUGGCAAUAAUUCAUUUAGCGCUUGUUGAAAGAAACCAUGGGAAGAUGGAUAAAUGCUUAUUUUAUGAUUUUUAUAGUUAAUUUAUUAAAAUUUCAUGAAAUGAGAAGUUCGAGCAUUUAAAUUUAAUUUAUUUGACAUAUGAUCAACUUGUUUGAACUCUCUUCAUCUCUUAAAUUAAAAUUACGUUGAGGCAAAUACUUGUACUAUUAUUUUUGUUGUAUGUGGUGCCUAGAAUUUGUUUUGCUACUGUAUUACAAAGAAAACAACACUCAAAAAACUAUAUUUUUUUUUUUAAUGUUGUUACUUCUUUGCUCUUUAUCUUCUUGCUAAUUGUUUUUUCUUAGGUUGUUUUUGUUUUUCCCUUUGGCUAUAAACAGAUAUAAUUUUUCAAGGCAGCAAGCAAGCAUGUUAUUAAGUUGAAGAUAUAUUGAAGAUAUUGUGAAGAGAAAAGGAAUUAUCAAAUCUUUUUGUAUAACUAACUUUUGAUAUGAAACAUUUGUAGAACGUACAAUUGUAAAAAAAUUAUAAAUAGCGUAAUUGAAAUUGGGGCUUCAAAGGAUUAUUGUAAAUUUUUUUUUUU